CCUACGGGUGGCAGCAGUGAGGAAUAUUGGUCAAUGGGCUUACGCCUGAACCAGCCAAGUCGCGUGAGGGAAGACUGCCCUAUGGGUUGUAAACCUCUUUUGUCAGGGAGCAACGCCGGCUACGUGUAGCCGGACUGAGAGUACCUGCAGAAAAAGCAUCGGCUAACUCCGUGCCAGCAGCCGCGGUAAUCCGGAGGAUGCGAGCGUUAUCCGGAUUUAUUGGGUUGAAAGGGCGCGUGGGCGGAAUGCCAAGUCAGCGGUAAAAUCCCGGGGCUCAACCUCGCGCCGCCGUUGAACCUGGCGGUCUUGAGUGGGCGAGAAGUAUGCGGAAUGCGUGGUGUAGCGGUGAAAUGCAUAGAUAUCACGCAGAACUCCGAUUGCGAAGGCAGCAUACCGGCGCCCAACUGACGCUGAGGCACGAAAGCGUGGGUAUCGAACAGUAUUAGAUACCCUGGUAGUC
rnacentral:rRNA from 1 species